CAAGCAGCCACUCUCACUGUGGUUCCCAAAGUGUGGUCCGGAUUCAGCUCUCUGUGGGGGCGUUUCCAGAUUCUAAACCAGUGUUCUUGAUCAUAACCACCCUGAACAGUGUGGUCAGCUGGAGCCGCAGCAUCACAGAGAAGUAGAGGAAAAAGCUGGACGAAGUCAUCAGAAAAGCCAGUUCUGUCCUGGGCUGUUCUUUGGACUCGGUAGGUAGGUGACAAAAGGGUCCUGGCAAAACUGACAUCCAUGUUGGACCAUGGGUCACACCCCCUGCAGGACACCCUGUCUGCUCUGGAGUCCAUCUUUGUGACAGGCUGAUCCAUCCUCGCUGUGCCAUGGAGAGACACAAUCAAGAACACUUGCUACCUCAAUAACAACCUCCUCCACGGGUCUGUUUUCCACCUUCCCAGUAGCAAGACUAAGAACAUGGCCUGAGCCAUUUCACUGCACAAGCUCACAUCAUUUAUUUAAAAAUACACUGCAGCUAUGGUAUGUGUCUAUCCACAAACAUGUUUACUUGAGAUAAUCAACAGGCAUCACUGUGGACAGUGUCUAGCCUGUUUGGCUUUGGAAAGAUAUUCACCAGCUCCCAGUGGAGGGUGUUGACAGGGAGGUCUGUCAGUUUUCCAAAGAAAGACACAUUGCUGUUGUCUGUUGAUCCUGUGUGCAUCAUCCAACCAGUUAUCAUUCUCAUUGCAUUGCUGUGGCAGCACCAGAAGCUUCAGCAUCAGCUGUCUUUAAACCAAACUGACAGUAAUUGUAAAUUAGCUGUCACUGUAAACUCUGCACACAACACGUUUGUUUUUUUUAGGUGACUGAAUGAAAUGAUGCUAAUUGCACAUUUCUAUGUUACAUAAACAACAAGAUAAAGCAUUAAAAAAAGCUACUGAUAUUCUUAAAAACCGGUGCUGAUUAAUGUGGAAAUUGAUUCUGGGUACACUGCUUGAUUUAAAAAUAUUUUUCCAGAGCCAACACUAUUCAUUUAUUUAUAUUUCACUGAGCCCCAUUUGACUAUGUCUGUACUAGAGAAGGAUUAGUAGUCUUAACAACACAUUAUUAGUGUGCUCACUGUACCUUGGCUACAGAAUCGUUAAUCACAAGAAGUAUGAUUUCGCAACUCUUAAAUCUUACUAAGUUGUAGAAACUGUGAACAAGCCUUAAAUGAGUUAUAGCUUCUGGUAUUUAUUAAUCAGAUCUUUCACUGAUUUUUGACAAAUUCAUGCAGCGAUGAGCAAAGUCAGUGCUCAUAUCACAUAUGGUCCAAUAUGUGUUUUAGCUGCUACUAGAUCAUUAUCCAAGAGGUUAAAUGAAUAGCUUUUCUCAGCUCAGAGCCUAAUAUCACAUUACAUUACAAUUUAGCACGCUGAGUUUUGCAACUCUGUGUCAUGCCAUGUUGUAUGGCUGGGUGUCACUUUCGUGAGUGAUUUAUGGGUAUGCAAAUGAGGCUGUCUGGUGAUAGAAGGAGAUGGGCUGCCUUUGCCCAGUGGGCCCCGGAGCAAAGACUGAAGACUGCGUGGGUGUUAGUCAGUCCUUAACUGCUGACACAGGCACGGAGCUGGCAGAGAUUCACAGAGCAAGAUGGAAAGAUGGCCUUCACAGGUCCUCACACUGACUGAUGAGAUCAAGUAGAAAGUAGGCCAAGCCAGACAAGUGUCAGGCAAACAGACACCCAAAGACAGAGUGAGAGAGACAAACACCCUCCAAUCACACAUAGAGCUGAGAGAGUGGAAAGUGGCGGCAUCCAGCCGGCUUGUUUGAUGUCUGAGUUCAAUAUGUCCAAAUCUGUUUGUCUAAAGCGUAAAGAGGCUGCUGAGUCUUAGAGCAUGGUAGCCCAGGGGAUCUCUGUAGUAAAGAGAGGCCAAGUCAAGGUUUUCUAAAUUCACUAGAGUGGAAAAAAGUUCACUUUGUUCUUGUAGAUAUCCGGACUGUGGUGACAUUUUGAUCAAUGUGCCUAUACCUUCCUGCAGCUUCCCGUUAUGUUGCUUGAAUAGUGAUUAUCUGUUAUCAUGCUGGCACCAAACAGCACCAUUUGUCAUACAGUGUCCCUCAUCUGGAC